AUAUUAUUAAGCGGAGGAAAAGAAACUAACAAGGAUGCCCUCAGUAACGGCGAGUGAAGCGGGCAAAGCUCAACCUGAAAAUCGGCUUCCCUAGCGGGAUUCCGAAUUGUGGGCUAGAGACGUGUGAUCAGUGUGUGACCCAGGUAUAAAUCUCUUUGAAACGAGGUAUCAUAGAGGGUGAGAAUCCCGUCUGUGACUUGGAGUUCGCCGCGUACGAUCCGCGUUCGCAGAGUCGCGUUGUUUGGGAUUGCAGCGCUAAAUGGGUGGUAAAUUUCAUCUAAAGCUAAAUAUCGACGAGAGACCGAUAGCGAACAAGUACCGUGAGGGAAAGAUGAAAAGAACUUUGAAAAGAGAGUUAAAAAGUACUUGAAAUUGCUAAGAGGGAAGCACUGGAAACCAGUCGUGACCGGCGUGUAUAUUUAGCAUGAGGCGUGUCGAAUGGCGUUGUGUCGAGAGCUUCGCGGCCUCGUAGCAGCGUCACAGAGAUGCGUGCGUGCGACCUGUACUGUUGGUCGAGUCAGAAUCAAUUCGAUUCGUGAGAGAAAGCUAUCACAACGGUAGGCGCGCGGGGGCAACUCCAAGUGCUGUUUAGUGUGGUAGUGCUAUCAUGGGUUGGAUUGAGG
rnacentral:rRNA from 1 species